UAUUUGCAAACUGAAAACUGAGUACAAGACAUGCUAUUGGAUUACCUCUAUUUCUGGAUUCAGUCGGCGUGAUUCAGAAAGCUGGUAUAUGCAUGAAGUACAAAAUUUAAAAUACACCUUUUCAUAUAUUUUUUCUUUUUUUGCCAAUAAAUGCAGUAAACCGAGAGGACAAAACCUGAAGAAAGUGGUGAAAUCUGAAUCCUCCCUAGCUAUUGGGUGAUUCUAGUCUAGAAUAAGACAUUUGAACUCACUCUAGCUACAAAAACAGAGGUUGCUAAAGAAGUCAGAGACCAUUUGGCUGUGAGUUCUGGAAUACCUGUUCCCUGCUUUGCUAACUUUCUCCCACCCGUCCUGAAAGGAGAGAAGUAGAGAGUGAGAAAUCUGGAACAAGCAGUCAAGAGAGUUUGAAAAACGGGCGCCUGUUGGGAAUAGCAAUGAAAACACUGAAAGAUAGGAAAUGCCCUGCAAAGCUGAGAAAAAGUUCAGAAAGUUUUUGAACAGCAAUACACCGGCCGUGCGGAGAGACUGCUAUGGAUACUUUGGUGAGCAGACAGGAGAAAGUUUUUUUAUGGAACUCCCCUGCAGAGUCACUGCUUUCAGCCCAAGAAAGCAAAGUCAUUUCUGAGUCUUUUCAGAGAAGCCUUCCUUGAGGCACUGAAAAAUGCAGCACCAGCCUUCCUUUGAUCUAGCUUCCUUAAGGACAAAAAGCAAAAGCAUCCCUCUGCUCCAUCUGCAUCUCACUAUCUGUCUUUGCCCUGCCUGGGCUCCUUCCCUGUUAUCGGAAUCGGGGGUGGAGAAAGCAAAAGAAACUCUUAAGGAAAGCAAACUUCACUUUGCAUUGGAGCUGCAAGGUACCUACAGCGGCGCGUGCACUUUUUUUGUUGGUAUUUGCAGCGCAAUCCUCCACAAGUCUGCUUAGCAGUAAAGCCUGACUGGUUCAGCAGGAUUCACUCCCAGAGAAAGGUGUUUAUGAGGGUUGCAGCGUAAAGCGCCAGGAAUUCUGCUGGCUGUCGUUGGAGAGAUGGAGAAGGGUCAUGCAGUCCAUUGAGAAAAAUACCCAUGCCAGAUGCCCUCCAUGGACUGAACCAUCCUGGCCAAGAAUCUGCUCUGUCUUUUUCCAGGUCAUUAAAACUGAACGGGGGAGUGGACAUCACCAGUGCCACCUGGAGUUGCUGCCCAAGCCUGAACACCUGCAUGGAAAGCAGAUUGUCGAAUCCUGUGCUAUGAACACCCCUAGACCUGGGAGUCUUCUACUAUAUUUAAAAGGACAUGGGGAUGGUUUCCCUUUAGAAAAGUGGCUGAAUGAAGAAUGAGCUGAAAUAAAGACGUGAACCUUAAGAGAGAAGAUUCAGCAAACCUGAAGAUGGAACAGCAAUGUGCCUCCAAGUUCUGAAGAAACAUCACAACUCAGGAGAGGCAAGGUUGGCCCAGGGUCAAAGUGGGUGGGUUGCCAUGGUAGCAAAGAUUUGCCCUCCUUUGUGACAUCUCUUGCUUCCCUCUUAAAAGCCACCAAGUGCAGGGGUCCACUGUGGGUUAGGGAGGAGAGGUCAGAGGAGAGAGGCGUGGUUAGAGUUGGGGAAUGGAGGUAAGAGAAGAUUCAGCAAACCUGCAGAUGGAACAGCAGGUGCCCCCAAGUUCUGAAGAAACAUCGCAGCUCAGGAGGGGCAAGGUAGGCCUAAGAUCAAAGUGGGUGGGUUACUAUGGUAGCAAAGACUUGCCCUCCUUUGUGACAUCUCUUGCUUCCCCCUUAAAAGCCACCAACUGCAGGAGACCAUUGUGGGUUAGUGGGAGGUCAGAGGAGAGAGAGGCGUGGUUAGAGUUGGGGAAUGGAGGUAAGAGAAGAUUCAGCAAACCUGCAGAUAGAACAGAAGUUGCCUCAAAGUUCUGAAGAAGCAUCACAGCUUAGGAGGAGCAAGGUAGGCCCAGGGUCAAGGUGGGUGAGUUGCCAUGGUAGGAAUGAUUUGCCCACCUUUGUGACAUCUCUUGCUUCUCUCUUAAAAGCUACCAAGUGCAGGGGUCCAUUGUGGGUUAGUGAGCAGAGGGAUGGUUGGAGUUCAUGAAAGGAGUUUCAGGAGAUGCUUUUGAUUAUUAUUUGCUUUUUUGCUUUUUGCUUACUUUGACUUUCAUUUGAUUUUUUAAUUUUAAUUUUUUAAUAUUUAUUUUGUUUUAAUAUCUGUUGCUCUUUACUUUAAUAUUGUAAUUUUUUAUUCGUUAAUAUUUUUAUUUUUACGUUUUUAUUUUUGUGCAUAAUUGUGCAUAUUUUAUAUACUUUGUAUAUAUUCAUUCUGUAUAUAUUUUACAUAUAGAGGGAUAGUUAGGGUUAGGUGUAAGCUUAGGGCUGGGGUUGAUUUUAGGCAUGGGUGGGCAUUUUAGCUAGUUAGGUAGUAUAGAUAGGAGGGGGGACUUCUCUGGACAGCAUGUUCAGGCUGUCAGUAGGAUUUCUUCCCCUUCUCUUUGUCUCCUGGGGUGAGGGUCUCCUGCAGAGCCUUGGCUCCCUUGAAAUCAUCUUGGCAAGUCAUUUCACUCCUGAAGAGCUCCGUUUCUCCACACUCCCUGCAUUUCCAUUUUCUGUCCUAGAGAACAUUUCUCCUCUGUUCUCCUGGGGAAACUGGGCCAAUUUGGAGAGUACCCCAUGAUCCUUGUCUUGGCCCUGGAAGCCCUUCUGCAGUUGAGGUGAAUUGUGUCUUUUUAAUGGAUGGGGUUGUGGUGUUGGGGGAAGAACUCCGGGAUAAGCUCAGUGUGGGGAGUUGCAGGCAGAAGGGAUAAUGGGACAAGGAAGACUCAGAGGAGGCAGAGUCUAACAUUGUCCUCUCCAGCUUUGUUAAGCCAGAAUUUGGCUCAGACUUCUGUGGCAUGAUCGUCCAUACAACUUUUCAGGCAGUCCUGGAAGAAAAUGAGGAUAAGGACAUGUGUUGUUAGCCUUCACUUCUCUUUACAUGGCUCUUUCUUUAUUCUUCUAUUGUUUAGGUAACCUUUUAAUGUUUGAUGCAUUACUUCAUUUUAAUAUUGUGUUGGAAGCCGCCCAGAGUGGCUGGGGAAACCCAGCGAGAUGGGCGGGGUAUAAAUAAUAAAUUAUUAUUAUUAUUAUUCA